AGCAAGUGGCACUGAUGAUUAUGUGGAUUUUGAAGAGGUCCUGACUGGAGAGUUAGAGGAGCCCAACACCUCCAGAGAAAGCGACGAGUUCAUCUCAAAGCUUAUGUAAAAUAAAGCAGAUUGUCCAUCUACUGUGAUCUUUGCUCUGUUAGCCACAGCUUUCUAAGAAGAUUCUGAGCUUCUGCAGACGCCUACUAUUCCAUCAUAAAAGUUUGAGUAAUUGGAAAACACUAGUGAGCCACAGAAUACAUGCGG